rnacentral:RNase_P_RNA from 2 species
GGCGGGCAGGGGAUGGCCGCUUUAUCUCUGAGUUGAUGAAGAGGAAAGUCCGGACACCAAAAGGCAGCAUGCCAUGCAAAGAGAAGCGCAUGGGAGUGUAGUACGCAAGUUCUACGCGACGGAGAGUAUCACAGAGAAUAGACAACCAGCCUGUUGGGGGCUUCUUAGGGCCGUACUCAACUCGUCUGGAAAUGGUGAAAAGGCGGGGUAAGAGCCCACCACCCCGAGCGUAAGCAAGGGGGUACGAAAAACCCCAUGCGGUGCAAGACGAAAUAGGAGGAUGGGUCGCCUGCCCGAUGAGGGUCAUUCCCUUAGAAACUCCGGGUAUUAGGUCGCACCUGACAGAGGUCGGGGUUUUGUCCUGCUGGACAAAACAGAGAAAUGGUCAUCGCAUCAGCACCUUGGCUAGGGCUGGGGAGCUGUUGUACAGAAUCCGGCUUACAACUGCCCCUCCUUC